UGACUUUCUGAUUAAUGUUAAGCCCAGGAUUAUCCGAACAUUGUGUUUGCUUACUGUUCGGAACCAUAAACCUCAGGUGUUCAGACUCGCUGGAAAGGGAAUCAAGCUCAGCACAAGUUAGACCUGCAGUGAGACAUUUAUUGGAAGAAAAGCACAUACCUGGAAGCAGAGCGCGACUGAAGACGAGGGAACAGCAACAAGUGAACCAGCCCGAGGACUGAGAGCACCGACUGGAGAGAACCCAUCUGACUCGGAGAUUCCGGUGAUUCAGUCAGGAGACAGUUUGAACCCGGAACACAGCCUCACUGGGACAGAGUGGUAACAUAACCUGGAGCCGCAGUACAAGAACCCGUAACACUGCCUUACUGGGACAGGGUGGUAACAGAAGCUGGAGC